UGCCCCCUGCGGUGUUCGAGCUUGUCUGCAAUUUCUCUGAACCAAUGCAUACGUGCAAGGCCGCGGCCAACUCCGGUGUGGGCGUGCGCGCAACACGUCUUGCGUGCCCGAAGCAUCUCAGGCUGCAGCCAUCUUGAACCCAGGUUCAAGAGUCCGCCGACAAGCACGGCACAGGCGGGGAGCAC
rnacentral:other from 1 species